rnacentral:rRNA from 1 species
AACGCGAAGAACCUUACCAGGUCUUGACAUCCCCUGACAACCCGAGAGAUCGGGCGUUCCCCCUUCGGGGGGACAGGGUGACAGGUGGUGCAUGGUUGUCGUCAGCUCGUGUCGUGAGAUGUUGGGUUAAGUCCCGCAACGAGCGCAACCCUCGACCUUAGUUGCCAGCAUUCAGUUGGGCACUCUAAGGUGACUGCCGGCUAAAAGUCGGAGGAAGGUGGGGAUGACGUCAAAUCAUCAUGCCCCUUAUGACCUGGGCUACACACGUGCUACAAUGGGCGGUACAAAGGGUCGCGAACCCGCGAGGGGGAGCCAAUCCCAAAAAGCCGCUCUCAGUUCGGAUUGCAGGCUGCAACUCGCCUGCAUGAAGCCGGAAUCGCUAGUAAUCGCGGAUCAGCAUGCCGCGGUGAAUACGUUCCCGGGCCUUGUACACACCGCCCGUCACACCACGAGAGUUUGCAACACCCGAAGUCGGUGAGGUAACCCUUACGGGAGCC